rnacentral:lncRNA from 1 species
UCAUUUUCCAAGUGAAUAGAGACUUCACAAACAUCUCUUCUUUUAUCAUUGUAAAAAUAAUGAUGAUGAUGAUGAUGAUGUUGAUACCAUGAAGAGAAUAAAGCCACCAGCAGACAAAGAUGGAUCACAGAGGUUAAUAGAGAGCUGUGAUAUCAUAGAACCAAGGCCAGUAUUUUGCAAAGCAUAUCUGAAGGACCACCCAGUCUUCAUCUCUCAGAUGGUGUGGUUAGAUGAAGGAAAACAGCCUCGAGAGAAGAGAAAACAGUCUGAACAAAGGCCAGAGAUUGUCAAGAAAACCAUUUAG